rnacentral:pre_miRNA from 1 species
GGAAUAUAAGAACCCGUCUCUUAACUUUUAACUAAAAAAGUUAAGAACCGGCUCUUAAAACUCUUAUUUAAGAACCGGUUCUUAGCUUUUUUAGUUAAAAGUUAAGAGACGGGUUCUUAUAUUAC